CGGGACUGGAACCGGCACUUGGCACCCCUUACGCCUUACGGUGGCCGCUGCGCCCAGUCACAUCUGAGCGGAGAAUUUAAUAGGCAAGAAAGAAGGAAGAAGGCUGAAGGAAGAAGCUCCCCACUACAGAGACAGACGGAGGGGGCUCCCAAGACGAAAGAGGAGACCCCCAUUCUAGAUGUUCUUAACCCUUUGAGGGCAAAGCUCUCCGUUUAAUGCCUUGCACAUAUCAGGUUGCCAACAACAUGGUGUGGUUUAUCAAUUGUGAUAGGUUACUUAUUCGAGCCCCUGUUUACAAGAGUUUUAGUUUUGCAGGCUGAGAAGUACUAUGUUAAGAAAGAUUUUGAGGUUGUCCUCAUUCUACUGGAAGGAGUAUCAUUUGAUUUGUGAUGUCUGCCAUAGUUGGAAAGAAUUGGUGACCUGUUUAGGUCUCACUCUGUUGCCCUGGCUGGAGUGCAUUGACAGGAUCAUGGCUCACUGCAGCCUCAACCUCCCAGCUCAAGCAAUCCUCCUGCCUCAGCCUCCCAAGUAGCUAGGAUUAUAGGCAGGCACCACCACACCUGGUUAAUUUUUAAAUUUUUUGUAGAGAUGGGGUCUUCAACUCCUGGCCUUAAGCAAUCCUCCCACCUUAGCCUUUCAUAGUGCAAGGAUUACAUGUAUGGGCCACUAGGCCCAGCCGCUACCUGUGCUUUUUAACUGAUUAACUUUAGACAUCAUCUGUUUACUCCCUUUUUGUAAAAUAUGAAGAUGUAUUUCAAUUACAUUACUCUCUUUCCCUCUUCCAUAUUCCUACCAAUAUUUGAUAAUCGUAAUAUUUUGUUUUUCUCUUGGUUUUUUUUUUGGAGAUGGAGUCUUGCUCUAUUGCCAAGGCUGGAGUAUAGUGAUGUGAUCUUGGCUCACUGCAGCCUCCAUCUUCUGGUUCAAGCAAUUCUCCUGCCUCAGCCUCCUGAGUAGCUGGGACUCCAGGUGUGCAUCACCACACCUGGCUAAUUUUUGUAUUUUUAGUGGAGAUGGGUUUCACCAUGUUGGUCAGGCUAGUUUUGGACUCCUGGCCUCAAGUAAUCUUCCUGCCUCAGCCUUCCAAAGUGCUGGGUUUAUAGGCAUGAGCCACCGUGUCCAGCCUCUUGGUUGUUCUUACAUUAAUCAGCUUUUGCUACAUAGCAGUCACAAUCUUCUGUCUAUAAUUGGCUAGAUUAUAGUAUGUUAGAUAAAUAUUAGGCAAAUAUUCACUUUUUUCCCCUUUACCCACCUUUAUGGAAAAAGCAUACUUUCUCCCAUGAUUAUUGAUGUUGGAUUUGGGUCUUACGAUUUGUGUAAAGUUAAUUUUUCCUGUCUUUCGUUUAUAAGAAGGGCUCUAAUUAAUAAAGAUGCUAGUUUCUAUAAAAGGGAAACCUGAAGAUCUUAAUGUCAACAAAAUAGCCGUGUAUUUUUUCACUCCUUUAACUGUCCACUGAAGGUGUUCUUAGCAGGCGGCUUUCCUUCAUGUGAUGAUUCAGUGACCCUAAUUCCUUCUGUUUUAUAGUUAUACCAUCCUUAAAAUGCCCUGUGAUUCUCUGUCUCUUGUAAUGGAAGGGGAAGAGAGAAUGGAGAAGGCACUUCUUAAUUGCCGUAGCAAGGAAAUGACAGAUUACUUCCUACAUUCAUUGGCUAAAACUAGACACAUGGUCUUGCCUAGACAUAAAGGGUCUGAGAGAUGAAGUUUUGCCACAAAGGAGGCCUAUCCUUUUAUUACUAUUUUUGGCUGAAGGUAAAUACUAGGGUCCUUGUAUUUGCUGUGGACAGAGAUGGAAGAAAACGGUGGAUUUGUUUAGUAUAGUUUUCUUGUAUUCAGAUCUUUAGUUAAUCUCUAUUCCUAGCUAACCUUCUCACUCUUUCCUUAAUGUUCCUUAGAGAUAGUUCCUCAGGUGCACUGAACCCAGAAUCUCUAAGGUUUCAGUGCACAGGACAGCUUUUAUCUCAAUUGCAGCUUCCUCCUAGUGAUGGUGGCGGCUCAUCUGGAGCAGCUGCUGCGGUGAAGGCCGCUGCAGUAGGAGGGGGUGCACCUGGGGCUGUGCCCUCUGUGGAGCCCGUAGGGGGUGGGAACAGGUGAUCCCAGUGGAAGCCUCACACUCUACCAAAUUGGUGGGGCAGGAGCCUGCACUUCUAGGUGCAGCUGUAACCACCCAGCCAUGGCUCCAGACCUGGGCAUCCCUGUGCUCUCUGGGGCCCAGGGAGCCUCUUGCCCCCGCAAGUUCGGAAGUGCCUGCUCCCACUCUCCCUGGCCUCUCCCUGCUCUCAGUUUCCACUCUGGUGUGGAGCAAAGUUAUAGCUUAGCCCAGGCACUGUCGUGACCCAGCCAGGUGUGUGCAUGCCUGGGGCAACACUGACACACCAACUCCCACUGCCGCCUUGAGCACUGAUGAGCUCAGAGGGAGCUGAAACUCUGAAACUUUGGGCACUGAUGAACUCAAGAGGGAGACCGGGGGUGCUGAGGGCAGCUUGGUGUGGGCCUGUGGGCUCCCCUCAGCAUGGACAGCCUGGGCACAAAUGGCAUGUUGAUGGCAACAGGAGGCAGACAGAUUCCUAGGUGGGAAGGGGCAGGUCCUUGGUGAAACCCCGUCUUGAAGCCAGGGAUGGCCUGAAGCCUGGGGGCCAGGCUGCCAAUUACGGGUGGAGUCCGCGGCCCAGAGUGAGAACUUACGGUGCUUUUUCCAUGCCUGCCCAUGGCUACCCAUGGAUCAAUCAGCAUGCACUUCCUCCCUUCUGAGCCCAUAAAAACCCUAGACUCAUGCAGACUCAGAUACUCUUCAGGAUGACCUGCCAGUGGAAAGGAGC
rnacentral:lncRNA from 1 species